rnacentral:rRNA from 1 species
UACGAAGGGGGCUAGCGUUGCUCGGAAUGACUGGGCGUAAAGGGCGCGUAGGCGGUUUGUACAGUCAGGUGUGAAAUUCCCGGGCUCAACCUGGGGGCUGCACUUGAUACGUAUGGACUGGAGUGGGGAAGAGGGUCGUGGAAUUCCCAGUGUAGAGGUGAAAUUCGUAGAUAUUGGGAAGAACACCGGUGGCGAAGGCGGCGACCUGGUCCUUGACUGACGCUGAGGCGCGAAAGCUAGGGGAGCGAACAGG